rnacentral:tRNA from 1 species
UCCCAGGUGGCUCAGACAGUAAAGAAUCUGCCUGCAAUGCAGGAGACCCAGGUUCGAUCCCUGGGUUGGGGA